AAGGGCUACUGGACCAGGACUACGCUUCUUUCAGGAUGUCAAUGCAUUCUUUCUGUCUUAGAUUACAUCCUGUAGGCUCUAUGGCAUUCAUAAAAAUGUGCCAACAGGGUGACGUGAUUUCAGCAAUAUGUUUAGCAGUGCUUAGACUCAGCCAAUAGGUUUCAUUAGUUUCCUUCCCUUUUGCCUUUAUGGCAAAUGUCUUUUUGCUCCGCAGCACUUGCAGAGACAGCUGAAGGACCAGGAGGGGAGGGUGGGGGCCCUGGAGCGGAUUGUGGCCCAGAAAGAGGUGCUGCUGCUGGGUGUGCAGGAGCAGAAGAGCGCCCUUCAGUUGGAGCUCGGCUCUCAGAAGGAAGAGUGUCACAAACAAUGCACCCAAAUUCAGGAGCACGGAGAGCGUGAAAAGGAAGUGGCAUUGGAGGCACAGGGGUUGCAGUUAUCUUUGGCCCAUGAGAAAGAGCUUCAACAGGUCCGUCUUCAGGGGCAGGAGGUGAAAUCAGCAGCUCUGAGAGAACAGGCCCAGUCUCACACACAACGCGUGGAGUCGCUUGAGAGCUGCAUCCAGGUCAGUGCAUCUGCACCUGCCUCUAUACUUAAGCAUCAAAUCAGUUUCACCGUUACCUCUGU
rnacentral:lncRNA from 1 species